GUGGAGGGUAAGGGUUAGUGGUGAGGGUUUAACCAGUCUAGUUUUUAUAGUGGAGGGUAAGGGUUAGUGGAGAGGGUUUUACCAGUCUAGUUUUUAUAGUGCAGGGUAAGGGUUAGUGGUGAGGGUUUUACCAGUCUAGUUUUUAUAGUGGAGGGUUAGUGGUGAGGGUUUAACAAGUCUAGUUUUUAUAGUGGAGGGUAAGGGUUAGUGGUGAGGGUUUUACCAGUCUAGUUUUUAUAGUGGAGGGUAAGGGUUAGUGGAGAGGGUUUAACCAGUCUAGUUUUUAUAGUGGAGGGUAAGGGUUAGUGGGGAGGGUUUUACCAGUCUAGUUUUUAUAGUGGAGGGGU
ensembl:lncRNA